ensembl:lncRNA
UUUCACUAUAGUAACAAUACAUUUGCAGGCAUUUUGGCCUGCAUUCUGGCUUGUAUGUCUUUAAAAUCUCUGGGCACACGUCCUGCUGGAAUUAGCUGGGUGCUUUCUCUGUUCUGUGGCUCUGUUAUGGCUACUCAUGGUAAUAGGAGAAGGGAGAGUUUCAGAUGGGAAAGUAAUUAUUGACACCCCACACAGCCAACAGUUCAUCCUUCCUCACUGAACUCACUUCACAUGACAGAGUUGUGAUGCCUGUACUGUAAUAGAUUUUAGGGACACACAUUUGUAUAUGUUAAUGUUUUUUUUAUAUAAAUUAGAAAGCAAACAGUAUGAGCAACACAUGCUUUCCAGCCACUUUCAAAGAACACUUUUUUAAAAAUACGAGAUCUUAAAAACGCCAAACAAGUUCACACUUAAAAUGUUUUGACUCUCUAAAGCAUAAUAUUGUAUUUCUUCCUAAGUGACUUGCUUAUUGUUCCUUUUGACGUCAUUAAGGCCUCUGAAUCAGUUUUAAAAAAUGCACUGGAGAGCCAUUUGUGCUGAGUUGGCAGUUCACAUUAACAGUUUUACAUGAAAUGGUUUGUGUUGUCAAAAACCCCCGUGUAGAAUCUUGCCCUGACAAAGAGAGUCCUCACGCUCAUCAAAAAUGUAUUUACUCUGAUUCAAGAUGUAGAUGAGUUUGUAUUUUCACUGAAAGUGAUUUAGAGAAACAUUGUCAUGUGCUCACCAAUGGAUCGUCUGCAGUGAAUGGGUGCCGUCAGAAUGAGACUUUAAACAGCUGAUAAAAACAUCACAAUAAUCCACAAGCUGCGUAUUUUUAAUAAACAAAUCCACCAUUAAGACUGUUGCUUCCGGCUAAAAUAUGGGUCCUUUAUCCAUUAUUUUGCUUUCUCCGGUGAAAAAGUUAUUUUGUCUAAAUCAGGAAAGAAAUAGGCAUAGAUCAAGCUAAAAAUAUAUUAAAGAUUUUUCUUACAAACACACAGCUUUUCACAGGUCAAUUUUUUUUUUUUUUUUUUUGAUGGACUGAAGUCGUGUGGAUUAUUGAUGAUGUUUUUAUUAGCUGUUUGGACUCUCAUUCUGACGGCACCCAUUCACUCCAGAGGCUCCACUGUUGAGAAGCUUCCAGCAACCAGAUGCACUUCAUGGCGAUAGAUAAAGAAAUUCCCAUGCGCCAGGAGUUAAAUAGUCCAACAAGUUAGAGCAUUGUCUACAAUUUCAAGAUGCUCUCGGAGGAAGUAAACAAGCAGACAUGCAGACGUGAAAAUAAGAACCCUCUUCUUCCCCUCCUUCCAUGUGACUGCAGAGGCAUAUGACUUCCAUAACUUCAUCGCUUAUUAACCGCUGAUGGGAGGACACAAUUGAAUGAGUGUUUGUAGAACUUGCCCUAGAUAUUUAGAUCUCAGUCCUUGGCUGUGGCUGUUGGGCAGAUCUUCUCCUGUUUCAGAUAGCUUCACCCUGCCUGACAACAGACCGUGAGGAACUUCACAUGAGAGUCCCAUGUAAGGAGUGAACUAUGGGAUACAAAGGCCAGUUAUGAUCAUUUAAAUCCUUUAGCAAGCACCACAGAAAAACAAAAGACAGAUUAGCAUGAUUUACCAUGCCGGUGUUAUUAAAUUACAUCAUCUAGCCUACAUAUGAGCCAACACAACUGAUAUACAGACAGUGUGCAGAUGUGCGCAGACAGUGGAAUAUCUAUAUGUAAGCACUGUGUAUUCUUUGUCUAUUAAUGAUUUGGUACACCAGGCUUUGUAAGGUCUUGAAUAGAGCUAGUAUUGAUAAGACCAAAAAUACAUAUAGGAAAUAGGCCUAGGCUAUCUUUAAAAAACAAUCUUCACUAUUAGCAUUAAGGCUACCCUUACGAAAAAGAAGUUUAUUCAAGUGUGCUAUUAGUAUACUUCUUUUAAACUAAAAAUAGGAAAGUAUGCUUUUAGUUUACUUUUUAUGUACUUCUCAGAAAUGGGCUUUAUGUACUUCUCAGAAAUAUACUUAAAAUGACAUUUAAGUAUACUUGACUUAUACUUACAAAACGUCUAAAUAUACUUGAACUUUACUUAAGUAUACUUAAUAAAAUAAACUUGAAGUAUACUACUUUUUGGUAAGGGUAUGCAUGAACGACUUUAGUCAUUGUCUGGGCCUGACAUGGAUGUCGUUUAAAAAGUAAUGCAUUUAUAAAAUAUAUAAUUAAAAUAGUUUUUAUAUUAUGUUGUAUAUUUUAAAAUAACGCUGAUUGCUCUGAAACAAUAAAGUGAAAACGAACAAAGGCCUAUUAUUUUCUGUGGUUCGUGUGUAAAUAAAAACUGAUGGUAUGAUGCCACCUAGUGGUUGAUUUCAUGCAUCCAGCAGACCGAUGUCUAGGUUCAUUCAGCUCUUACCUUCAUAUAAAAGACAACAAGCUCUAUUAAUGAACCUGAUGUCAUUUCUGUGUAAUGCUGAGAAUGUGAGUGAGGAUAAGCAUUAGACCUUGAGAAAGGACGCACACCAUUUAUGAGGAGACUUUUAAGGACAAGAGGUGGGUGGGAGCUAGAUUUCCUCCUUGGCUUAGAAAAGACAACAUAAUCUUUGCCAGCUUCAGAAUUCCCAUCAUUCCCUGGAUGUUAACACAUUCAUUUUAGGUAAAGGAAAUUGCAAACCAGACCAGCUAUGGUCAUAUUCAAAGCUCCAGAAUGAUCCAUUCAUCAUGUUCUGUUUCUAUGCUGAGUAAUAGGCUACCUUUUUAAUGCUACAUUAGUCUAGGCAUAAACUGUGUAUUAAAACUUUCUAUCUUUCCUUUGGGACUUACAAAGUUAUAAGAGUUUGAAAGUAUUCAGAUUAAUUACAUGAAGUUUUAUUAUAUUUAAACUGUUUUCACAUUGUCCACAACCAUAUUCAAAAGAUCACUGCCUUUUUG